rnacentral:rRNA from 1 species
ACGCUGGCGGCGUGCCUAACACAUGCAAGUCGAACGGAGUGAAGCGCUGAAUUGAUUUUAGCUUGCUAAGGAUUUCUUGUUUCACUUAGGUGGCGGACGGGUGAGUAACGCGUGGGUAACCUGCCUCAUACAGGGGGAUAACAGUUAGAAAUGACUGCUAAUACCGCAUAAGCGCACAGUACCGCAUGGUACGGUGUGAAAAACUCCGGUGGUAUGAGAUGGACCCGCGUCUGAUUAGCUAGUUGGUGAGGUAACGGCUCACCAAGGCGACGAUCAGUAGCCGACUUGAGAGAGUGAUCGGCCACAUUGGGACUGAGACACGGCCCAAACUCCUACGGGAGGCAGCAGUGGGGAAUAUUGCACAAUGGGGGAAACCCUGAUGCAGCAACGCCGCGUGAGUGAAGAAGUAUUUCGGUAUGUAAAGCUCUAUCAGCAGGGAAGAAAAUGACGGUACCUGACUAAGAAGCCCCGGCUAACUACGUG